GUCGUGUAGAGCGCCAGGUAGAGCAUGCCCAGCUGCGCCCCAGUGGCCUUCUCGCACACGCCGUCCGCCGUGCACGGCGCCGGCCGCAGCCCCGCCACCGCCGUCGAGAUCGUCAGGAUCGCCACCCCCUGUUCAUGAAAAAAAAAGGGGAAGGGGUGCGUACGGAGGCUUGAACGGCGGCGAAGACGGCGAUGGUGAGGUACCGGCCGAGAGAGGUAUCGCCGACGAAGCCGCCUAGGAGACAGAGCAUGAAGGAGGUGCCCAGGAAGUUGGUGACGGCGUUGGCAGCGGCGGCAUUACCCAGGUGCAUCGUCGCAGUCAAGUAGGUGACCAGAUUGACGGCGAUCCCCAGCGUCGUCAGCCUCUCGUUGAGCUCCACCACUUCAAUCGCACGUCAACAUGGAUUCGCCAUUAAUGCUAUUUAAUCAUAAUUUACCAGAGCUAGCUGAAAUUACAAGUACUGAGAAUCGAUUAUAAGAUCUAUCUA